rnacentral:lncRNA from 1 species
UUUAGACUUCUCUUUCCUAUAACACCACCCUCCCACUUCUCAGCUAAUCAUCUCUUUUUCGCCCUCACAGCCUGUCUUCACACAUUCCUCCAACAGCUGUUGGCUGACCGUCUGCCUCAUCUACCCCUGGGCCAGAUGCUGGCGACAGAGCUGGGGAUGCCAGAGACGGGGCCUCCCAGGCUGGUUGGGGAGUCAGAUUCAGAUGGUAGAGCAGCCAGUGAUCUUCCCAGAGAGUAACUCGAGGGCUGAGAAUAAAGUGAAGACAGUGCAGAACAUCGGGGGAGCCAGGCAUCUCUCAUACAAUAUUUCCUUUUAUGACGGCUUCUUUCACUUAACAUAAUGUUUCAAAGUUCAUCCAUGUUGUAGCAUCAGGCAUGAGCCACUGCACCCAGCCUGUUCUAGUCUGUUUACAAAUCUUUGGGGUAUAGGCCUAGGAGUGAAAGUGCUGGUAAUUCUAUCAUAUGGUCUCUGCCCGUUUUUAUUUUUUAAUUAAUUAAUUAAUUAAUUUUUGAGACAGAAUCUCACUCUGUCACCNNNNNNNNNNNNNNNNNNNNNNN